rnacentral:lncRNA from 1 species
AGUGGAGUGGAUCUAGAGCUUGGUGGGUAGUUCUUCCACUCCUGGAUUGUCGAAGAGGCCUAAAAGGCAAACUUAGAGAUGACACUAGAUUUAGAACAGUUAGGUGGGAUGAGACUUGUACUAAGUCGGAGGCAGAAGCGAAGUGAAGGAACACAUACAGUUAGUGGCAUGAACUCCCUUUGCUGUUUUUCAUUCAGCAUUCUUAGGGUUAAUGUCAUAGGCAUAACAGUCUUCAGACUAAUCUCUUGUAAGUGGAUAAAAUGAUCUGCAUGUGCUUGAUAGCUCUGUUCCUUACUGCCCUCUGCCCAUGGACUCUAUUUACAUUUGUUUCAGCACAUUUUUUGUAGUAUUAAAGAGUCUGAUAAGCGCAAGAAUUAACCCAUAAAACAGCUGGCAGGAUCAAGACUUUCUAUGGGGACUGAUACCUCACAGCUCUUGUUGCAAACUAGUUGACAGCACCUUUUAAAAGCUGUUUCCAGUCUGGUUGUGACUGGUGAAUGCAGGCCCUGAGGCUCUCUUUCUUCACAGCUGUCACAACACAACAUAAUCUACCCUAGUCUGCCCUUCAGAGUGAGCUCAAAAUCCUCAUGCCUUUUUUUCUGUAGAGGAAAACCUGGGGUUACAUGGAUCGUAAGCUGAAUAUGAGUCAGUUCUCUGAUAGGAUUGCAAAACAGACAGAUGAUGUUCUGGGAAAUGUUAAUAAUAGGGGCACACUUAAGCCAAAGGAGGUCGUUUUUUCUGGUCUGUUUGGCAUUGGAUUUUUCUUCCACUGGUGGAAUAGAGAGUCCUGUUUUGCGUCCUGUGAAAGUGGAGAGAAAAACAGUAGAAAUGUCAGGCAGUUCAGAAAAUUUGCACUCUGAGAAAGAAAAGAAGGAAGUUAGGCUAAAAAAAAAGAAAAAUAAAAGAGGAAACCGAGAGAAGAAAUAUAGCAAUCUGCUAAGUAUGUUUUCAGUUGUUAGAAAGUUGGUUCAACGGUUGUAUGUGCCUAGUGCAGAGCUUGCAAUGCUUGGCUGCCUCUGGGUGUGCAAAUGCCAGUGGAGGCUGGAACCCCCCUGUGCCUGA